UACCAGCACCCCGAGUGGUCGGGACGAUUAUUGGGCCUAAAGCAUCCGUAGCCGGUCCUGCAAGUCUUCCGUUAAAUCCAGCUGCUCAACAGAUGGGCUGCGGGAGAUACUACAGGGCUAGGAGGCGGGAGAGGCAAGCGGUACUUUAUGGGUAGGGGUAAAAUCCGCUGAUCCAUAGAAGACCACCAGUGGCGAAGGCGGCUUGCCAGAACGCGCUCGACGGUGAGGGAUGAAAGCUGGGGGAGCAAACCGGG
rnacentral:rRNA from 1 species